AUUUUUUUAUUUAUUUUCAAAUCUUAUAUUCUACUUUCUAAAUAUAGCAUAGAACAAAUUUAAGAGUCAACUGACAUAACAAAAACUUUAGCAUAAACAUACCACGACUAACUACGAUUCUCGUUUCACUGCUUAACAAAGCCCUCACACACUUAUUUAUUUACAUAACACUCUGAUGAAAUCUUCAAGAGAGCCAAGCCACUAAGAUCAAAAAGGGAGUUCAGCUGGCCUUUGCAACCGGGAAGUGCAGUUUUGUGAUAGAGUUCUGAAGAAAACUUCUCCCACAAAAUGGAUCUGGGCUGUCAAUAUCCAAAUCCACAACGCUAGACUGUACCUCGCUUGACGAAGGUUCGAUAUUGCUAUCAUCCAGAGGAUGGUUACUUAUCUGAGAACUCUCUCCAUGUUUACGAGCUUGCUUCUUGUCUCUACCCUUGCUCCCUCGUGAGGAUUUGCCAUUGUUUUUCUGCUUAUUCUUCCCAUUCUUCUUCUUGCCAUUCUUAUGGUUUUGUCCCUUGUUUGGAUUUGGCACAUGUGACACUGAUGUUGGAAUAGGAUCAUACACAUCUGGAGCCCAUGUUACAGUCAGCUUCCUCGAUAGACUGCCUUGUUUCUCACGGCCACCUUUCAUGGCAGAUACAAGCUUCAAAGGAGUUGGCAGAGAUAUGGAACGUGAGUAAGGCAAAUCAGGAGAUUUGGCUUCAGCACCAUGUGUCAUUACUUCAGCAUUCAUAUUUCCCUCUGGCUCCUUCCCACCAAAUUCUGCAGGAGGCACGCUAAUACCAGAGCAUGGAAAAGUUGCACAUUUGAUCAAGCAUUUUACAGAAGCACUACCAGAAUCACUUCCAUGGGAAUCUUUAGUUACAUCUUCCUUCACAGUCUCAACAUUGCACUUAUCAUUUGAGUCUUCAGCAUCCUGAAUAUUGAGACAUUCAGUGAAAUGGUGGCCAAAAUCAUUUAGAGAAAGACCUUCUACAUUUCCAAAAGCACAAUUAGGCAUCCCCUUUGAUGACUCGCAAUGAGCGCCUACAUUUUCAGACGCCAAAUUGUAGCUAGCAGGGCAAUCGUCCAUCAAUUACAAAGAGAGCAGCAAAGACCUCUGCGUUUGACGAUUGAAAUGAACUUGUCAGAUCCUCUAAACAAAGACACGCCAAAGAUCACGAACUAUACCAACAGAUUUGGGUACAAAUAUCAGGAAACGAAACCGCAAUGAGCAAUUGGAAAACCGAUGAUUCAAAAAAAAAAAGUAAACGUUAACUAAGACUAUUAGCCCAAUCAAAUUUCUCCAUGUUUUUCAGACGAUGAAAGCACAAAAAACCAUAGAAAGAUGCAGCAUGCGGUGGAGUGAAUAGAUCAAAUACAGAAGGCACCGAAUGCAUUGCUCGAUGCUCUUCAACAAUAAAAUCCCUAAUUCAAAACCCUAGCUGGGGGAUCAGCUUAGAGAAGAUGAAAACCAAUAAUAUUUUUAUUUUUUUACGAUUUGAAAAGAUGAAAUGAAAUGAUUAUAUCACGAAGAUUGACAUCGAAAAGGAGUGAAGAAAGUAGAAGAGCAUAAAUCGGACAGAAACGCCUUAUCCGGCAAAUAAAAAAUGAGGAACCGUGCAAACAAGCGCACACGGUUAGUGGAUAUAUA
rnacentral:misc_RNA from 1 species